AGUGAGUGAAGGACUCCCCCUGCUCAUCAUCUGUGCGGUCUCCAGGGAUGCCAGAGAAUGGAGAUUUCACUUCUACAAGGACGGAGUCGAGAUCGUCCCCAGGAACAUGGGGUCUGAGAUCAACGCCAUGGAGCCUGGCAUCGGCUCUGUGAAUGUCUCUGUGCUCAGCAUCCCACAGGCCGGUCCCAACAACACCGGGGAAUUCACCUGUGGGUACGAGGAGAAUGUGAGUGGGAGGUGGAUCCCAUCCCCUAGGAGCCGGGCAGUGAACGUCACUGUGAAUGUCACCAGGACAGCUCCCAGCUUCCUCUGGGUACAGAAGUUGGUGGUGGGUGGCUCCUUCUUCCUCAUCAAUGGCCUCAUUUUCCUCAUCUCCCACUGCUGCUUCUAGAUCCAGGUAACUGGCUUGUUCUGUGAAGGGGGCCCUUCAUUCUGUGCCUUGCAUUCUCUCCACAAGGUGACCCAUUUGGGCUGCAAUCACUCCCCUUGAAUUUCAGCUGGGGGGGGGAGGAGGGGGAGGGAGGUUCUGGUGGAAAGUCAAAGAGUGAGAUCUGAGAAACCUCCACAGGGCUUUAGGCAGCAUGAACACUUUAGCAACCAACCAAAAUACAACUGCAUCUGGGGUGGGGCAUAGCCACUGUUUCACAGCUGCACAACCCUUGUGCACAGAGUUUGCUUGCUCGGUGUGAACCCAGGAAGCCCUGUAGUCACACCUUACACACGGCUGCAAUGUCAUGUGUACACACUCUGUCUUGCAAGGUAUCAUUUGAAUCUCCCACUACACUGGUCAAUAAUAUCACUGUGGAAUAUAUGUGAGAACGCGGCAGGUGGAGAUAUGGCUGACCUCUGUGAGUCUGUUUUAAAGCCUGUAUUGGAACAAAGGGGAACCAGGUCUGCCCAGGGAACGAAGAAGGGUGACCGGUGAGAAGAGAAUUAGUAUUUAUAUGUCUGGUAAACAAAGCCAUGGAGCCACCAAGGAGAAGGUGAUGACUCAGCUAUCCACGGGGGCUGGAGACGGCACCACCAGGAGACCUUCUUGCUUCCUGAAGCAUUGUCAAUGAACAUAGAGAGACAUGCUCUCCUGGACGAUAGAGAGAGGGGCAAUGAACCCUCAAAUUACCUUCCCCCUAAGACGACAAGGGAAACCAGCACCUCGCACUUUGGCGGAAGUUACUGACUGAGAGCCAGUCAGACAGGCUGGACCAAACAUAAUCACAGAGUGAAACCAUCUUCAAUGCAGUCUGAGUUUGAGCUUUUCAGCUGUGUGUUUUCACUUGGAUUUACCUGUAACUGUCUCUAACUUGGUUUCAUUUCACUUGGCAUCGCUUAAC
rnacentral:lncRNA from 1 species